rnacentral:rRNA from 1 species
AUCGAUGAAGAACGCAGCGAAAUGCGAUAAGUAAUGUGAAUUGCAGAAUUCAGUGAAUCAUCGAAUCUUUGAACGCACCUUGCGCUCCUUGGUAUUCCGAGGAGCAUGCCUGUUUGAGUGUCAUGGAAUNNUCUCAACCCAAAGAANUUUUUUUAUUCUGCGGGCUUGGACUUGGAGGCUUGUGUCGGCUCUAGCUCAGUCGACUCCUCUAAAAUGUAUUAGCGUGAAUCUUACGGAUYGCCUUCAGUGUGAUAAUUAUCUGCGCUGUGGCUGUGAAGUAUUUAAUUGACUCAUGCUUACAAUCGUCUCUUGGGAGACAGUUURUAUGACAUCUGGCCUCAAAUCAGGUAGGACUACCCGCUGAACUUAAGCAUAUCAAUAAGCGGAGGAAAAGAAACUAACAAGGAUUCCCCUAGUAACUGCGAGUGAAGCGGGAAAAGCUCAAAUUUAAAAUCUGGCGGCCUUGGUCGUCCGAGUUGUAGUCUAGAGAAGUGUCUUCCGCGCCGGACCGUGUACAAGUCUCUUGGAACAGAGCGUCAYAGAGGGUGAGAAUCCCGUCUUUGACACGGACUACCGGUGCUUUGUGAUGCGCUCUCAAAGAGUCGAGUUGUUUGGGAAUGCAGCUCAAAAUGGGUGGUAAAUUCCAUCUAAAGCUAAAUAUUGGCGAGAGACCGAUAGCGAACAAGUACCGUGAGGGAAAGAUGAAAAGCACUUUGGAAAGAGAGUUAAACAGUACGUGAAAUUGCUGAAAGGGAAACGCUUGAAGUCAGUCGCGUCGGCUAGAACUCAGCCUUGCAUUGCUCGGUGCAUUUUCUAGUCGACGGGCCAGCAUCAGUUUUGACCGCGGGACAAAGGUCGGAGGAAUGUGGCACCUUCGGGUGUGUUAUAGCCUCUGGCUGCAUGCCGUGAUUGGGACUGAGGAACUCAGCACGCAUCUGCUGUGCUUAGGAUGCUGGCGUAAUGGCUUUAAACGACCCGUCUUGAAACACGGA